UGAUAGAGGCGCGGAUCUCAUGAGUACCUGAGAGUCCUGAUGUGGACAAGACGGGAAAGGGUUGUCCGCCGAAGCUGCUUUUUACCUGCCGGUUAAGGUACCGGGCAGCUGGGCUGCAGGGAAAUACUCUGCAGACUGUCACCUGCAUCAGCAUGUGGAGCGCUAUC
rnacentral:ncRNA from 1 species